UCUGCUACAGAAGUUCGAUCGGAGCCCGAUCUCCGUAGAAGCCCGGAUGGGGAUCAUUUGUCAAGGAAGCUCGACAGAAGCCUGCCUGCAAUAGAAAUCUAGAAAGAAUUCAUCCAUAAUGGAAGCUCGGGUGAAGGCUUACAGUGGAAGUCCGACGUGGACCACUCGUAGUAGAAAUUUAAAGUAGAUCGCUUGUAGCAGAAGCUCGGAGUCCGGCCCUUGUAGGAGUUCAGAUGAGGUCUACCUGCAACAGGAGUUCAGGGUGGAAGUCUGGCUCCCGUAGGAGCUCAGACGGAAUCUACCUUCAGUCAAAGUUCGGGGACGAAGACCGGCUCCCGUAGGAGCCCGGAUGGAGUUUAGAAGAUGGUCGACCACCGUAGAAACUUGGAUGGAGUCCGUCCAUCAUGGAUAAUCUGAUCGACACUGGUGGGGGUUUAUCCAUCGGUAGAACUCGGGAACGUUGCGGAGGCUCGGCUGCCGGAGAGGUUCGAAAAGAUGUCGUCGAAGGUCGGACGUCGAUAGAAUCCCUGGAGGGUCACUCC
rnacentral:lncRNA from 1 species